rnacentral:misc_RNA from 1 species
AAGUCGUAACAAGGUUUCCGUAGGUGAACCUGCGGAAGGAUCAUUAAUGGAAUAAACCUGGUGGACUGUCGCUGGCUCUCUUGAGAGCAUGUGCACGUCUGUCAUCUUUAUCUUUCCACCUGUGCACCUUUUGUAGACCUGGAUAUGCUUAAUAUAUCAAUCUGAGGUCAACUCAGGCGUGAGGACUGUCGGCGUCGCAAGAUAUCGGCUUUCCUUGUAGCAUUCCAGGGACUAUGUUUUUCAUACACACUUUAAAAAUCUAAUAGAAUGUCGUUUUAAAAAGGUCUUUGUACCUAUAUAAAACAAAUAUACAACUUUCAGCAACGGAUCUCUUGGCUCUC